GGAUUAGAUACCCUGGUAGUCCACGCUGUAAACUAUGAGUACUCGGGGUCGGGGCUAUUGCUUCGGUCCCACGGCUAACGCGUUGAGUACUCCGCCUGAAGAGUACGGUCGCAAGAUUAAAACUUAAAGGAAUUGACGGGGGCCCGCACAAGCGGUGGAGCAUGCGGUUUAAUUCGAUGCUACGCGAAAAACCUUACCAGCUCUUGACAUGUGCAGUUGUGAGAUACAGAAAUGUGUUUCUUCAUUUUAGUUGGGCUGCGCACAGGUGUUGCAUGGCUGUCGUCAGCUCGUGCUG
rnacentral:rRNA from 1 species